UGAACGCUAGCGGCAGGCUUAACACAUGCAAGUCGAGGGGCAUCGGGAGUAGCAAUACUGCCGGCGACCGGCGCAAGGGUGCGUAACGCGUGAGCAACAUGCCCGUAUCAGGGGGAUAAUCCAUGGAAACGUGGUCUAAUACCCCAUAGUAAUUAUGUAAGGCAUCUUAUAUAAUUUAAAGCUUUGGUGGAUACGGAUUGGCUCGCGUGACAUUAGCUGGAUGGUAAGGUAACGGCUUACCAUGGCUACGAUGUCUAGGGGUUCUGAGAGGAAGGUCCCCCACACUGGAACUGAGACACGGUCCAGACUCCUACGGGAGGCAGCAGUGAGGAAUAUUGGACAAUGGAUGGAAAUCUGAUCCAGCCAUGCCGCGUGCCAGGAAGACGGCCCUAUGGGUUGUAAACUGCUUUUGUAUGGGAGCAAUAAGGGCUACGUGUAGUCCGAUGAGAGUACCAUACGAAUAAGCACCGGCUAACUCCGUGCCAGCCGCCGC
rnacentral:rRNA from 1 species